UACAGAGGUCCCAAGCGUUGUUCGGAAUCACUGGGCGUAAAGGGUGCGUAGGCGGGUCUUUAAGUCAGGGGGGAAAUCCUGGAGCUCAACUCCAGAACUGCCUUUGAUACUGAAGAUCUUGAGUUCGGGAGAGGUGAGUGGAACUGCGAGUGUAGAGGUGAAAUUCGUAGAUAUUCGCAAGAACACCAGUGGCGAAGGCGGCUCACUGGCCCGAUACUGACGCUGAGGCACGAAAGCGUGGGGAGCAAACAGG
rnacentral:rRNA from 1 species